GACGAACGCUGGCGGCGUGCUUAACACAUGCAAGUCGAACGGAAAGGCCCUGCUUUUGUGGGGUGCUCGAGUGGCGAACGGGUGAGUAACACGUGAGUAACCUGCCCUUGACUUUGGGAUAACUUCAGGAAACUGGGGCUAAUACCGGAUAGGAGCUCCUGCUGCAUGGUGGGGGUUGGAAAAUUUCGGCGGUUGGGGAUAGACUCGCGGCUUAUCAGCUUGUUGGUGGGGUAGUGGCUGACCAAGGCUUUGACGGGUAGCCGGCCUGAGAGGGUGACCGGCCACAUUGGGACUGAGAUACGGCGCAGACUCCUACGGGAGGCAGCAGUGGGGAAUAUUGCACAAUGGGCGGAAGCCUGAUGCAGCAACGCCGCGUGCGGGAUGACGGCCUUCGGGUUGUAAACCGCUUUCGCCUGUGACGAAGCGUGAGUGACGGUAAUGGGUAAAGAAGCACCGGCUAACUACGUG
rnacentral:rRNA from 1 species